UAUGUCACGGAACAAUUGAAGACCGGAAGAAGCUCGCCGAGUAGGGUAACUGCUCUUCCGCUUAGCUUAGCUAAGCUGUUUAACAUGGCGGAGGCAGAUCGAUACCUGUGGACCAAGUCUCUCUCCAACCUACCUAAAUGUCCUACGACGACGUCCUAAGGAUCGUAAAUCAGCACUCACGUGUCGAAACAUCUAAACUACGCAAAGGAUAUAAGUUCUUCUGGGAGAAGUACAUUUUUAAUUACAGAGACACAUGACUACCACUUCACAGGGGAGAAAAGCGUGCCAACACCUCUGUCGUGCACCAGUGUUCUGCAGUCGUGGACCAAGGAGACAGGGGAUUCGCUCCAGGGGAUUCGCCCGGAACCCAAUGACCAACUUGUGGUCAGGAAACCCAAGGUUUGGGUUAGGUGUUUUUUUUUAACACAUACAUGGACACAUACCUCCUGAAUGCCAAGUAAAUAUGGCCGAGGGAUACACACACCCCAUUUCAUUUAUUUAUUUCUGUUAAAUGUAUUUAUUUAAAUAUUUUAAUCAAAGAAUUGGAAACGAACAUUCCUGAACAUUUGUUUAAGGUAACACACUCUGAGCACCUUUAAAACAAGCCUGAAGACUUUUAUGUUUGCAUUAGCUUUCUGCUACAUCUUAAAUACAUUGCACUUUCUAAAAAGCUUUUUUAACUUUGCCUUUAUUUUCUAUUUUAAUACUAAAAUGCCUUUAACUUUCUAUUUUACUCAUUUGUCUGCAUAUGUUUUCUUUUACUUAUCUAUUUUAUUGUAUGACAAUGUUUAUAUGUGAAGCACUUUGAGUCUGCCUUGUGUAUGAAAAGUGCUAUAUAAAUAAAGUUGCCUUGCCUAACACACACAGAACAUUUCAUUUCUUUCUGUUAAAUGUAAAUAUGUAUAUAUGUAAAUUUA